rnacentral:rRNA from 1 species
UACGUAGGGGGCAAGCGUUGUCCGGAAUCAUUGGGCGUAAAGAGCGUGUAGGCGGCCUGAUAAGUCGGCUGUGAAAGUCAAGGGCUCAACCCUUGAAUGCCGGCCGAUACUGUCAGGCUAGAGUCCGGAAGAGGCGAGUGGAAUUCCUGGUGUAGCGGUGAAAUGCGCAGAUAUCAGGAGGAACACCGAUGGCGAAGGCAGCUCGCUGGGACGGUACUGACGCUGGAGACGCGAAAGCGUGGGAGCGAACAGG